GGCCUUAAAAGUUAGGUCCCGACCCUAUCUCUAGCUGUGACAUUGUGUUGCUGCUUUGAUGGCGCAAUUGAAUUUGGUGUUUGCGUGAUGUGUGUGCAGGUUUUGUUCUUCAAGUCUUGAUGAUGAACCGUAAUGUGAUUCGGAUCUUGACCCUGCGACACAACAGGAUCAAGAAGUUGCAGAAUGGAUAAGCUCUUUGGUGCAGUGUGAAGGAGAUUACCGAAUGACACAUAUGCAGGCCGAGUAGCACUGAUGCAGAAUGGAGAAGAAGAUUGAGAGUGAGGGUCGUGGAAAGGUGAAGUGAGGUUGAGAGAUAUGAAGAUUGGAGAGGAUUGAAGAACUGAAACGAAAAUGAUGGAGCAAGAUUGUAGUGAUUGAGAUUUUUCCUGCUAUGCUUAUCCGAGGCUGCUUGAGAAUGGCCGGCGUGGAAUGUUUACUAUGUGGAAUGCAUCAAUUGAAUUUAUUUAUAGAAUAUGGGAUCGGUUUGAAUUUAUUUAUAGAAUAUGGGAUCGGUUAGCUUUAGGGAAUAAAAUAUCAGUUAUGAAUGAAAAUGUACAUGAAAUGAUUUGAAUUUAAUUGAAUGUUAUGUCUUGAAUGUUUGGAUAGAAAUGUGGGUUUUAUGGAAUUGAUUUUUUUAUUAGUUUGAGAUUGACUUUAAAUGCUAAUUGAUUAAUGUUUAAAUUCAAAUGGUUUUAAGUGUGUGAUAGACCCAAAUGUUAGAAAGAGGGCUUGGAAUGGAAAAUUAAACAUUAAUAAAGGUUUUAAAAUGUUGAGGGAAUGGUUUCAAAGUUAAUUGAAAAUGGAUUUAAAAUGUUGAGGGAAUGGUUUCAAAGUUAAUUGAAAAUGGAUUUAAAAUGUUGAAGUGAUUUUGACAAGUUUAAUUUAAAAAGGUCAAAAUAUUAAUUAAAAAUAAUAUGAAAUGGUUUCAAAAUGUUAAUUAAAGUUAAUUUGAAAUGAUUUCAAAACUAAAUUGCAAUUGGAUUUGGAAA